AUUGAACGCUGGCGGCAUGCUUUACACAUGCAAGUCGAACGGCAGCACGGGUGCUUGCACCUGGUGGCGAGUGGCGAACGGGUGAGUAAUACAUCGGAACGUGCCUGAUAGUGGGGGACAACUACUCGAAAGAGUAGCUAAUACCGCAUAAGAUCUAAGGAUGAAAGCAGGGGAUCGCAAGACCUUGCGCUAACAGAGCGGCCGAUGGCAGAUUAGGUAGUUGGUGGGGUAAAGGCUCACCAAGCCUGCGCUCUGUAGCUGGUCUGAGAGGACGACCAGCCACACUGGGACUGAGACACGGCCCAGACUCCUACGGGAGGCAGCAGGGGGGAAUUUUGGACAAUGGGGGCAACCCUGAUCCAGCAAUGCCGCGUGCAGGAAGAAGGCCUUCGGGUUGUAAACUGCUUGUGUACAGAGCGAAAAGCCGUGGGCUAAUACCCUGCGGAAAUGACGGUACUGUAAGAAUAAGCACCGGCUAACUACGUGCCAGCCGCCGCAGUAACAC
rnacentral:rRNA from 1 species